GGUUGGUCUGUGUGCAGUGGUGUUUACAACUAAUUGAUCACAACGAUUACAGAUUCCUUUGUUCUUUCUCCACUCCCAUUGCUGCACUUGACCAGCCUUUA
rnacentral:Y_RNA from 1 species